UUUUGUGGGGUGCUCGAGUGGCGAACGGGUGAGUAACACGUGAGUAACCUGCCCUUGACUUUGGGAUAACUUCAGGAAACUGGGGCUAAUACCGGAUAGGAGCUCCUGCUGCAUGGUGGGGGUUGGAAAGUUUCGGCGGUUGGGGAUGGACUCGCGGCUUAUCAGCUUGUUGGUGGGGUAGUGGCUUACCAAGGCUUUGACGGGUAGCCGGCCUGAGAGGGUGACCGGCCACAUUGGGACUGAGAUACGGCCCAGACUCCUACGGGAGGCAGCAGUGGGGAAUAUUGCACAAUGGGCGGAAGCCUGAUGCAGCAACGCCGCGUGCGGGAUGACGGCCUUCGGGUUGUAAACCGCUUUCGCCUGUGACGAAGCGUGAGUGACGGUAAUGGGUAAAGAAGCACCGGCUAACUAC
rnacentral:rRNA from 1 species